AGAAAGAUAAGCUAAUUAAGCUAAUGGGUUCAUACCCCAUUUAUAGAAGUUAUAAUCUUCUUUUUUCUA
rnacentral:tRNA from 1 species